rnacentral:rRNA from 1 species
AGUGAACGCUGGCGGCAGGCCUAAUACAUGCAAGUCGAGCGAACGGACAGUAAGCUUUCUCCUCUGAGGGUGGCGACUGACGGGUGGGUAACACGUAGAUAACAUUCCACUAAUACGUGGGGGACUUCGUGGGACAACAUCUGCUACUACCGAAUAUGUUCUACCGGUUGGAUCAAGAGUUCUUGGGAGUUUUGCCGUCUCAUUGAGAUGAUUUCGUGCCGCCUUAGCUAGUUGGUAAGGUAACGGCUUACCAAGGCAACGAUGCGUAGCCGACCUGAGAGGGUGAUCGGCCACACUGGAACUGAGACACGGUCCAGACUCCUACGGGAGGCAGCAGUAGGGAAUAUUCCGCAAUGGGCGAAAGCCUGACGGAGCCACGCCGCGUGAGUGAUGAAGGUCUUCGGAUUGUAAAACUCUGUUAUUAGGGAAGAAAAAAUGUGUAAGUAACUCUGCACGUCUUGACGGUACCUAAACAGAAAGCAACGGCUAACUACGUG